AUUGAACGCUGGCGGCAGGCCUAACACAUGCAAGUCGAGCGAGUGGCGGACGGGUGAGUAAUGUAUGGGGAACUGCCUGAUAGAGGGGGAUAACUACUGGAAACGGUGGCUAAUACCGCAUACCAUCGGAUGUACCCAUAUGGGAUUAGCUAGUUGGUGGGGUAAAGGCUCACCUAGGCGACGAUCCCUAGCUGGGCUGAGAGGAUGGUCAGCCACACUGGAACUGAGACACGGCCCAGACUCCUACGGGAGGCAGCAGUUGGGAAUAUUGCACAAUGGGCGCAAGCCUGAUGCAGCCAUGCCGCGUGUAUGAAGAAGGCCUUAGGGUUGUAAAGUACUUUCAGCGGGGAGGCGUUACCCGCAGAAGAAGCACCGGCUAACUCCGUGCCAGCAGCCGCGGUAAUUC
rnacentral:rRNA from 1 species